rnacentral:rRNA from 1 species
UACGGAGGGUGCAAGCGUUAUCCGGAUUCACUGGGUUUAAAGGGAGCGUAGGUGGGUUGGUAAGUCAGUGGUGAAAUCCCCGAGCUUAACUUGGGAACUGCCAUUGAUACUAUCAGUCUUGAAUACUGUGGAGGUUAGCGGAAUAUGUCACGUAGCGGUGAAAUGCUUAGAUAUGACAUAGAACACCAAUUGCGAAGGCAGCUGGCUACACAAAUAUUGACACUGAGGCUCGAAAGCGUGGGGAUCAAACAGG